CACCAUAGAGCAUAAUACACUACAACAAAGGCAAGAAAAAGACAAGAAUUACUGUGGAAAAUGACACUGGAACUCUAACUCUUUUUCUCCCAAACCUUCAGAAUUAAGAAAGGAAAAUCAUCUCUGAUAUAGAGUCAUGAGUGUGCACCCUCACUACUCUUAUCAAGAUGUUUUCUGUUCCCAAUACUUCUGGUUAGAUACAUAACUUUACUAUCUAGACUUGGAAUAAAUGGUAAACCAUACCAUUUAGACUCAACUCUUCACAGAGAAGACAAGAUAAACCUGCAACACACAAGUCAUCACAAGGACAAACUGCUCUGAUACCAUAAAUGUGACAUCCCAAUUAUAUUAUAAACAUAAUAUAAUAAAGGCGUCACCAUGAGUAAUACUAGAAAGCAGUUAAAGAGUACUUUAGGUUCUUAAACAAAGAUUACCGUUAUCCAGAAAGUGGCUAAAAAUUUAAAACUUAAAGUGCUAAAGUAUCACAAAACAGCAUAAUGUAACAGUGUUUCAAAAGUACAUAUAGGAAAAGAAAUCCUAAAGGAUCUAAGCCUCAACAUCUUCAUUGCCCUCCAAGACGUUCUCCACAGAGACCUCAUUCUCCUCUGCUCACAUCCAAGUGGAUGAUCAUUGCAAAAGAAAAGCAUACAACAUGGCACAAACACAAGCAAAUGCAAGUGUGAGCUAAUUAUAUAAAAAAGUAUGCUAUUAACAGUAAAUAACAUUCAAGAACAAACUCAAAAUCAAGUAAAGUAAGACACACAUCCUAUACAUGUUAUUUUCUAGACUUGACUCGUCUGGACUUUAGAAUGAUAGUCAAGCUAUGGCAGGCAAAGCGCCCGUGGUGGCUUGUGAUACUGAGCUCCCCCGCCCUAGGCUCCCCCGCCCUGCCACACUCACGAGGUUAGUUUGUUCCGUGCCCUGAAGCAUGAUGGAAGCCUCCAAGACUCAGACCUCCUGCUACUCCUCACCACACAGUCCAGUCCUCUCUACGUGAGAAGAAAGGCCAUUGGAGCGUCAGGAAGACCCCCAAGACUGAACUCCUACUUUCAUUCUAAAACACUAAGAAUCUCACUAUGAGAUUCUACACAUAUGGAACUUGGUUUACCACUUGGAUCGUACUUUCAUCACUUUGUAAUCAUAUACUUUUUUUUUUCCAAUCAACAUAUACAUAAUCUCAACAAUAUACAUUACUCACAAAUCACAAGUUAUGAAAGUAACUGCUCCAUAAUUGAAUUUCAGUAGUAGAUAUUAACUCGUCAAACACAAGGUUUUACUUCAACAAAUAAAAUAUUACCACAACACAUAAAAAUUAUGCAACUUUUAUAAUUUAUUUUACAUACAUAAUAAUUCCUCAUUUGUUUCAUCUCUUAAUUUAUAUGUUUAUUUACUAACAAAACAUAAAACUACUAUUAUAAUGAUAAUAGUAUAUAAUUUAAAUUUAUGCCAGUCAAUAAAUUAAUUAGAGGUUAAACUUACAGAAUUCUAAUAUUAAUAUAUUAUAAUAUAAUAUUAACAAAACUAAGUUAACAUUUCUAUACUGUUAUAUAUCUAAUAUAUAUACUAAUCUGUAUAAGUUGAUAAUUAUUAUAUAAUAUAAAAGGUUCACCACAAAAAUUAUAGAAUAAGCAUAUUAUGUAAUAUAUAAUAUUAUGAAAUAUAUAAUAUAACGUAAUAUACUAUUUAAUCUUAGCAUUGCUAUUUCCAAAACUAAGUUACAGUAUUCCUAUCCUUUAAAAGGUUUUCCCAAACUUUUAAAAAAGAACAAGUAUGAUUCAUUUCUUUAAUAAAAGCAUCACAUAAACUAAGAAUUGUUUAUACAAGGUCUCUGCAUCACGUGAUCAACCAAUUUAAACAUAAAUUAUACAUCAUAGAAUAUAAAAUACAAAAUAUAUUUAACAUUAUACAAUCUAAUAUUUUUUUUCAGAAUAUAUAACUUAAAUUAUAACUUUUGUAUUUUAAAUUGUCUAUUUCAAAAUAAAAUAAAUAUAUUUUAAAUUGUAUAUUUUAAAAUCUAAGAUAAAAAUACAUUAUAAAAAAAUGCUUAAAUUUACUUAUAAAUUACAGAAUCCUUAUGGAAUCAUAAUAUUUAUGAAGAUUAUGGAAGUGCAAGAAAAUAUAUUCAUAAGACAUACUAAGAAAUUUUUACAUGGCACUGUAAAGAUAUAAAAAUAUAAAUCACAUCUCCUCUGCCAAUUCACAACACUUCUUCCUUUUUAUAUUUCUCAAACAAUCUUACAGUACCCAUACUUAUAUAAUAAAUAUGCAGAAAACUCCAUUCCUCUUAUCUUCACUAAACCCAUCUAUAUUUCAACAAUCAAUCCCAUCAUAACAACUUACAACCAAUACAUUUUUACAUGCACAAUUUUCAGAAUCAUAACACAAGUCAAUUUAUACUCAACAGGUACAUAACAGUUUAAAUCAACACAUAAUUCAGGAUUCAACAUGCAUAUAUCUCAUAAAUUAAUUUCAAACAAAAAUAACUAGCUUCCCUUACCUUGGGUUUUCACGGUAAGCUAAUUUGAAGACUUCCUAAUAGAAAUUCUCACCCGAACAGAAAAACAACAGUACCUAUAAACCACCAUAUCGGCGGUAGAGAAUAACUCUUGGAGUGAGAACUUAACAGAAAUUAGAAAAAGGAGGGUUCUAACUGCAUAAAAUCAGUAGAACCCCAAGCUCUAAGUUUCGAAAAUAGUGGAGAAAAGGAGAAAAUAUACUUACCGGUCGGAAUGGAAGAACGCCCGGUUCAAAUUGAAGCCCUCGGUGCAGUGAGCAAGGAAACACUUUCAAAUUAAAAUUUGAUCGGUUCAAUGAAUAGAAAUUUAGAGAGAAGACAGAGCAAUAUUUGGGAAAAAGGGUUUGAGAGAGAGUGGAAA
rnacentral:lncRNA from 1 species